rnacentral:rRNA from 1 species
AACGAACGCUGGCGGCAGGCCUAACACAUGCAAGUCGAGCGCCCCGCAAGGGGAGCGGCGGACGGGUGAGUAACGCGUGGGAACGUGCCUCUUGCUACGGAAUAGCCUCGGGAAACUGGGAGUAAUACCGUAUGUGCCCUACGGGGGAAAGAUUUAUCGGCAAGAGAUCGGCCCGCGUUGGAUUAGGUAGUUGGUGGGGUAAUGGCCUACCAAGCCGACGAUCCAUAGCUGGUUUGAGAGGAUGAUCAGCCACACUGGGACUGAGACACGGCCCAGACUCCUACGGGAGGCAGCAGUGGGGAAUCUUAGACAAUGGGCGCAAGCCUGAUCUAGCCAUGCCGCGUGAGCGAUGAAGGCCUUAGGGUUGUAAAGCUCUUUCAGUGGGGAAGAUAAUGACUGUACCCACAGAAGAAGCCCCGGCUAACUCCGUGCCAGCAGCCGCAGUAAAAC